rnacentral:rRNA from 1 species
CCUACGGGAGGCUGCAGUGAGGAAUAUUGGUCAAUGGGCGCGAGCCUGAACCAGCCCAGUCGCGUGAGGGAUGAAGGUUCUAUGGAUCGUAAACCUCUUUUAUAAGGGAAUAAAGUGUGGGACGUGUCCUAUUUUGUAUGUACCUUAUGAAUAAGGAUCGGCUAAAUCCGGGCCAGCAGCCGCGGUAAUACGGAGGAUCCGAGCGUUAUACGGAUUUAUUGGGUUUAAAGGGUGCGUAGGCGGCCUUUUAAGUCAGCGGUGAAAGUCUGUGGCUCAACCAUAGAAUUGCCGUUGAAAAUGGGGUGCUUGAGUAUGUUGGAGGCAUGCGGAAUGCGUGGUGGAGCGGUGAAAUGCU